GACGAACGCUGGCGGCGCGCCUAACACAUGCAAGUCGAACGGAGCUUAAAGAGCUUGCUUUUUAAGCUUAGUGGCGAACGGGUGAGUAACGCGUGAGUAACCUGCCCUAGAGUGGGGGACAACAGUUGGAAACGACUGCUAAUACCGCAUAAGCCCACGGUGCCGCAUGACACUGAGGGAAAAGGAUUUAUUCGCUUUAGGAUGGACUCGCGUCCAAUUAGCUAGUUGGUGAGGUAACAGCCCACCAAGGCGACGAUUGGUAGCCGGACUGAGAGGUUGAACGGCCACAUUGGGACUGAGACACGGCCCAGACUCCUACGGGAGGCAGCAGUGGGGGAUAUUGCACAAUGGGGGAAACCCUGAUGCAGCGACGCCGCGUGGAGGAAGAAGGUUUUCGGAUUGUAAACUCCUGUCGUUAGGGACGAUAAUGACGGUACCUAACAAGAAAGCACCGGCUAACCACGUGCCAGCAGCCGCGGUAAAACGUAGGGUGCAAGCGUUGUCCGGAAUUACUGGGUGUAAAGGGAGCGCAGGCGGGAAGACAAGUUGGAAGUGAAAACCAUGGGCUCAACCCAUGAAUUGCUUUCAAAACUGUUUUUCUUGAGUAGUGCAGAGGUAGAUGGAAUUCCCGGUGUAGCGGUGGAAUGCGUAGAUAUCGGGAGGAACACCAGUGGCGAAGGCGGUCUACUGGGCACCAACUGACGCUGAGGCUC
rnacentral:rRNA from 1 species